AAUAGAUACCCCGGUAGUCCACGCCCUAAACGAUGUCUACUAGUUGUCGGGUCUUAAUUGACUUGGUAACGCAGCUAACGCGUGAAGUAGACCGCCUGGGGAGUACGGUCGCAAGAUUAAAACUCAAAGGAAUUGACGGGGACCCGCACAAGCGGUGGAUGAUGUGGAUUAAUUCGAUGCAACGCGAAAAACCUUACCUACCCUUGACAUGUCAGGAAUCCUGGAGAGAUCCGGGAGUGCCCGAAAGAGAGCCUGAACACAGGUGCUGCAUGGCUGUCGUCAGCUCGUGUCGUGAGAUGUUGGGUUAAGUCCCGCAACGAGCGCAACCCUUGUCAUUAGUUGCUACGAAAGGGCACUCUAAUGAGACUGCCGGUGACAAACCGGAGGAAGGUGGGGAUGACGUCAAGUCCUCAUGGCCCUUAUGGGUAGGGCUUCACACGUCAUACAAUGGUGCAUACAGAGGGCUGCCAAACCCGGCGAGGGGGAGCUAAUCCCAGAAAGUGCAUCGUAGUCCGGAUCGCAGUCUGCAAC
rnacentral:rRNA from 1 species